UACGUAGGGGGCAAGCGUUGUCCGGAUUUAUUGGGCGUAAAGAGCUCGUAGGCGGUUUGUCGCGUCUGCUGUGAAAACUCAGGGCUUAACCCUGAGCCUGCAGUGGGUACGGGCAGACUAGAGUGUGGUAGGGGAGAUCGGAAUUCCUGGUGUAGCGGUGGAAUGCGCAGAUAUCAGGAGGAACACCGGCGGCGAAGGCGGAUCUCUGGGCCAUAACUGACGCUGAGGAGCGAAAGCCAGGGGAGCGAACGGG
rnacentral:rRNA from 1 species